GCUGACCUCACGCGGCGGGUCAGCUCCCGGCCCCGCCCACCUCUGCACAUGCGCAUGGAGGCCCUUGACGGCCACACCACUGCUGCUGACCGAUGCUCCUGCUGCUGCUCUGCUAUUUAGAGCUCUCCCUGGCUCUCACCUGAUCUUCAAUGAUACAGGAAGAUUAAGUACCAGGAUCGGAAAAGAUAUGGGAGAGAACUGGUUGGAGCACACUCGAGUUCAGUAGACGUGGAAACACGUGCCCUCAGGAACAAGAUGCAGAAUGAGCGAGGGAGGCCACACCCAUCCCAGGGAAGCCCAGUCCAUCCUAAUGAACUUGGGGAACGCUGUCACCAGCCUUUUCCAACAGAUGGCCCCAAAGUGAAGCUGCUGGGCAACAGAUGAUGUCACAAGUCCAAGCAACAAGAACGAGAUAGUUUCUGUUCAUCUACCUAAUCAACCCAUGAUUAUCCUUGUUAACAGCAAUAAGAACAGUCU